CCCUCACAGCCAGGCUGCAGGGGUCUGGGAUCCAAGGGGCAGACCCUUCACUGCAUGUGCAGCUUGGAUUCCCUAGUUCCUCAAUCCCAGCUGAGCAAAGGUACAGAGAUGCAUCCACAUGGGUCACUGGGUCCUGCUUCCCACCACCUACUCCCACCUGCUGCCUCCUCCGUGCAAGGACCCCAGCAUCCCCAGAUGUCAUCUGUAGUUCGCAAUCCCGUAGAACACCUGGUGCAUCUCCUGGUGGGUGUCCUUUUGGGGACCAGGACCUCUGACCCUGUAUAGCACAGGUGAGAUUUAGACAGGUGGUGGCAGCCGUGAAAACACGCGACUCCUGAGGCUAGUUCACAUGAAGGCUAAGCUUUCCUCGUCUCCAGACACUGGUCUUGGAAGCCCGCAUCAUAGUGUGAGGAGGCCUAGGGGAGUGGCCGUGUGUGAGUGUGUUGACCGACGUCCCCAGUCUGGGCUCCAGCAUCAACUGUCAAGACGUGAGCAAGUGAACCUGCAGAAGACUUGAACUGCCAGCCCUCAAGCCGCUCCAGCUGGGGCUCCAGAUGCUGCAGAACAGAGAUGAGCCAUCCCCACCAUGCCCUGCCCCACAGUGACCUAGAGAGAGAAUAAAUGACUCUUGUUUUAAGCCA